GAUGAACGCUGGCGGCGUGCCUAAUACAUGCAAGUCGAGCGAACAGACGAGGAGCUUGCUCCUCUGACGUUAGCGGCGGACGGGUGAGUAACACGUGGAUAGCCUACCUAUAAGACUGGGAUAUCUUCGGGAAACCGGUGCUAAUACCGGAUAAUAUAUUGAACCGCAUGGUUCAAUAGUGAAAGACGGUUUUGCUGUCACUUAUAGAUGGAUCCGCGCCGCAUUAGCUAGUUGGUAAGGUAACGGCUUACCAAGGCAACGAUGCGUAGCCGACCUGAGAGGAUGAUCGGCCACACUGGAACUGAGACACGGUCCAGACUCCUACGGGAGGCAGCAGUAGGGAAUCUUCCGCAAUGGGCGAAAGCUUGACGGAGCAACGCCGCGUGAGUGAUGAAGGUCUUCGGAUCGUAAAACUCUGUUAUUAGGAAAGAACAAAUGUGUAAGUAACUAUGCACGUCUUGACGGUACCUAAUCAGAAAGCCACGGCUAACUACGUG
rnacentral:rRNA from 1 species